CAGCCCGCCGCGGAGAGCAGGGGAGGGGGGGGGGGGCUGUGUGUCUGGUGUUUGCCCCAAAACCUCGCGUCACGACCCGGGGACGCUUCUCUGACACCAGCGCUCAACAACAGAUGGAAGAAAUGGAGGAAAAUACACGGUCUGACUCUGGCUAACUUGAUGGCGGCGGUUGAACACGGAUUUCCACGCAUUUAAGACUGAUGACGCGAAUACACGCGAAAUAAACAAGUUCCACGUCGACCUUUCCCCCCCGAGUUAGUUCGUUGGUUGAACCUCGACACUUCAAACGAGUUGGGGCUCGGUGCGCUGGAAACCUGCUUCCUCCUGAACCCUGGUGAGAAGGUGUAGGGCAGACGAAAGGGUCGCUCAUGCUGAUUGUUGCACCACAGCAGCCGACGAGCUCCAACUAUCCUGUCUCAACCCUGAAGCAGCCGCCGGCUCUGAGAUGACGACGUCUUCUGUUGACCUCUUUUUACUCUAUCCUAAUAUUUUUGCCUUUGUGAUUAUAAAAUGUAUAAUGUCCAGUAACUUUCAUACAGUCCCUUCAUGAAUCUUGAAGCAGAAGACGGCUCCCUGCUGCAUGGUGUCUCUCCGUGGAGUGAAACCAAAAUGUGACACUGCGUCUGUUGACUGAACACAUUAUUUUUGAUUUUGAUGCCAUACCAUGCUAUACUAUGACACUUUGUAGUUUGUAAACCUUACUAUACCAUGACUGUUUCAUCACGUGUCUCCUUCUCUGUCCUUCUUCUGCAGGAGUCCCUGACUCCAGAGCUGCAGCAUCUAGAUCCAACACUACUCUAUUAUUAUUAUUAUUAUUAUUAUUACUGCCUCAGUGUUAUUAUCAGCAUUAUAAUUAUUAUUAUGAACUGGAGUUUUUAUGCCUUACUAUACUAUGAGGUUUUCUCUGUGAACGUCAGGUGUUAUGUGGAUCCCUGCCGAGAAGCAGAGAAUACUUCAGUUCUAAAAUAUUAAGGUACAGUAGGAAUUUUAAAACGAUUUGUCUGCUGAAAAGUCUUUGUAUUUUCAUUCAUACAAAUGUAUAUAUGAGGGCAGUAGAGAGGCUGCUCUCCACUGCUGGAGACAUCUUACUAAUGCUGCUGAGUGUUGAAGAAGUCUGUUGAUCUGUUAGCAGUCUUGUCAGACCAAUAGACUUCUUCAACAAUCAGCAGCAUUAGUGAGCUCUUAUAAUAAAUACUUCUGCU